rnacentral:rRNA from 1 species
GGGCCCGCACAAGCAGUGGAGCAUGUGGUUUAAUUCGAAGCUACGCGAAGAACCUUACCAGGGCUUGACAUAGUUCUAAGACUCUAGAAAUAGAGGGAUAUACAGAACAUACAGGUGGUGCAUGGUUGUCGUCAGCUCGUGUCGUGAGAUGUUAGGUUAAGUCCUCCAACGAGCGCAACCCUUGUCCUUAGUUACCAUCAUUAAGUUGGGGACUUUAAGGAGACUGCCGGUGUAAGCCGGAGGAAGGUGGGGAUGACGUCAAAUCAUCAUGCCCUUUAUGUCCUGGGCGACACACGUGCUACAAUGGUCGGUACAAAGAGCUGCAAUGCCGCGAGGCUGAGCGAAUCUCAUAAAGCCGAUCUCAGUUCGGAUUGGAGUCUGCAACUCGACUCCAUGAAGUCGGAAUUGCUAGUAAUCGUAGAUCAGCCAUGCUACGGUGAAUACGUUCCCGGGCCUU